rnacentral:lncRNA from 1 species
CUUUCUAUUGCAAGUGUUCCGAUCCUUUCUAUUGCAAAUGUUUCGAUCCUUUCUAUUGCAAGUUUCCCGAUCGUUUCUCUUGUAAUUGUUCUAAUUUUUUUUAUUGCAAGUAUUAUGAACUUCUUAAUGCAAGUGUUCUGAUCCUUCCUAUUGUAAGCUUUCUAAUCUUUCCUAUUGUAAGUGUCAUGAUCUUUCCUUACUGCAAUUUUAUCUCUACGUUUGCUUUGAAUAUGAGGAACUUUGAAUUGUUCUAGCCUUGCAUUUAAUAUAUCUCCUGUUUAGACGUAACGAUUCGAAUCUAUGCAACGUUUGAGAUUCUGACCUUUUGAUACUGAACUGCCUAUAAGUCCUGUUGAAAACUUUGAUUUAUUCAAAUCUUAUUACAUUGGAAACUAGACUCGUAAAUCUUUCUUUUGAUACCUGGAUUAAAAGAUUUAGAGUCCAAAUGUCUGCUCAGUUAUCUAUUGAAUCCGACCCUUUGGAUUAUGCAAAACAAUGAUUUUGUUUUCUGACCUUUGUUUACUAAAUCAAUUGUAACUCUUUGUUGGAAACUUUGAUUCAUACGAGACUUGUUUUAUCUGAAAAUAGAUUGAAAUAUCUUUCCAUAAUAUAUUUCUGAGUAAAUUGGAGCACGAUUGAUAGUUUGAAUCAUUUGUUCAAUGUGCCUCUUGAAUUCUGCCAGAAAUCGAGCUUUGGUCGAUUUAGCAUAUUCUGGUUUCAUUCCGUUGGAAAUUGAUAUCCUUUGACUUGCUUAUUCAAUUGAGCUUUAUAUUAUAUUACUACUUUGGAUUCUUCUAUGCUCUUGUCCUACACGUAUUUGGA